ACGACAGCCCAUCACUUCUGCCGUCACGCCUUAAACUCCCCUCCUCACCUCAGGCACAUUACCCCCUCCAAGCUGUCAACACGGAGCCCUUUUACAAGCGAGCCCCUCCGGGAAGCUGCACAAGGCCAGUUUUUCCGUCAGCAGUCCCAGCUCAGCACUGCCGAGGCAGACUCGCUCCUCGGGCGGCACCUGCCUGCGCGGCUGCCGGGCCGGUGGCGGCGCCGGGCCGGCGCAGCAGCAGAAAGUGAAGGAGCAGCGAGAGCGGUGGAGGCGGCGCACGGUGCGGCGGAUGAGCGCGGCCGAGCAAGGCCCCCAGCGCGCCCAUAGGUAGAGAUAGCAGAGCGUGAUCAGCAUGGCGCGCGCCCCCGCGCCGCCCCUCCCCUCCCCGCGCCGCCGGCCCGCCCCCUCAACGGCCGGCAACCGCCGAGCGCAACCGGGGGAGACCCCGGCCCCGCCCACACCAUUGGCCACCUCCCCCCCCGCGAGAGAGAGAAAGGAGUGAGGCGGCCGCCGCUCUGAUUGGCUCGCGGCCCCGCUCACCCCCCCCGCCCUCUUUAAACCCCUCCCCACCAACACCACCCCACGGUGGGGGCGGUUAACGGCCAGUGCGCGUGGGGACUCGGAGGGGCGGGGGGGCGGUGUCCGAGAAGCGGGUAACAGCCUGUCCUUGCGCGUCCCACCUUACACGAGCCCAUCCCCGGUCAGAAACGCUUGUAGUACAUACUGCGGUUUAGUGUGGAAACAACAGAGCAAAACUACUGUUAACUCUUCACAUAGAGAAACUCUUCACACUCUUUUCAUGCUGCGGGAAAUAAAGAAUUAUGCUUUGAACAACGUGUAAAGAACAAAAAUCAUUAAAAAGGCCAGUUUGGGGGGUCGUCCUCUCAUGCAGUA